CAAAGGAGUGAUCCGGUGGCGGAUGGGCAUGCGGCGCAUUAGCUAGACGGCGGGGUGACGGCCCACCGUGGCGACGAUGCGUAGGGGUUCUGAGAGGAAGGCCCCCCACACUGGGACUGAGACACGGCCCAGACUCCUACGGGAGGCAGCAGUGAGGAAUAUUGGUCAAUGGGCGGAAGCCUGAACCAGCCAAGUCGCGUGAGGGAUUAAGGCCCUGCGGGUCGUAAACCUCUUUUGCCGGGGAGCAGUGGUCCGGACGCGUCCGGGCCGGGAGAGUACCCGGAGAAAAAGCAUCGGCUAACUCCGUGCCAGCAGCCGCGGUAAUACGGAGGAUGCGAGCGUUAUCCGGAUUUAUUGGGUUUAAAGGGUGCGUAGGCGGGCAUUUAAGCCGGCGGUCAAAUGUCGGGGCUCAACCCCGGCCUGCCGUCGGAACUGGGUGCCUUGAGUGGGCGAGAAGUAUGCGGAGUGCGUGGUGUAGCGGUGAAAUGCAUAGAUAUCACGCAGAACCCCGAUUGCGAAGGCAGCAUACCGGCGCCCUACUGACGCUGAGGCACGAAAGUGCGGGUAUCGAACAGGAUUAGAUACCCUGGUAGUCCGCACAGUAAACGAUGGAUGCUAUCUGUCCGGGCCGAAUGAGGCCUGG
rnacentral:rRNA from 1 species